UAAAAUGCGAUCCCGGUGAAUUCUGUAGGUCACACAUAAAUGGCCAAUUUAUGAGGUUUCCACUGGCUGAGGCCUGGUGAGAAGGCUGCAUGCGGUGUGAGUCCCACGGUCUAAUACUUGGCCCUGUGUAUGUGGCCCUGCUUAGAGAGAGUCUGAGCUGUAAUUAAGGAUCUCGACACGAGAUCUUCCCGGAUAAUCUGGGUGGGCCCUAAAUCCAGUAUUUGUCCUUGUAGGAGGUGGAAGAGGGGAAGAUUCAGACACAGAGAAGGCCGUAUGGAGGUGGAGGCAGAGACGCGGGGAAAGAACCCCCUGGUGCCUCCAGAAGCUAGAAGAACGGGAAGGCUUCUGCCCCUGGCAGGAAUGCUGUCCUGCCAGACUUCUGGUCUCCAGAACUGUGAGAGAAGACCGUUCUGUUAUUUUAAGCCACCCAGUUGGUGUUAUUUGCUGCGGCCGCCCCAGGAAACGCAUGCAGUUUCUAAGGGUCAGGAUCUGGGAGUGGCAUAGCCAGGUGGUUCCAGCUCCAAGGUCUCUUAGGAGGUUACCGUCAGGAUGCUGGCCAGAACCACGGUCAUCUGAAACCCGCCUGGGGCUGGACGGUCUGUGUCCAAGGUGGCCUAGGCAUAUGGCGUUGGAAGGAAGCGUUGGCUCACGGCUGGUUUUGGCCAGCAGUCUCGGUUCUUCACCAUGUGCGCCUCUCGAUGGGACUGUCGGCUUCUGUCACAGACAGAGAAACACAGAGAGAGCGAACGAGAGAGGGUUCUGGAGCCCGGGGCGCCCAAGAUCGGGGUUCCAUCUUGCUCAAGUGUUGGUGAGGACUCGCUUCCUGGCUUGGAGCUGGCUGCCUUCGUGAUAUAUUUUUACACAGCAGACAGAGAUAAAGAGCUAGCUCUCUGG